rnacentral:lncRNA from 1 species
CUCACUCUCAAUCCACAACCCUGCGCGUAUAUUCUCCUAAGUGCGGCGGCUCCACACAACAUGGUCUUGUGGGAUGAAGUGGCAAAUGGGCACGGUCCCGGGCUUCACCUUGAGCACCUGGAACGCCAGGUGUUUCGGGUUCCACGCUGCCGUGUCGGCGUGGCAAACUGCCGCCGCAUCCACCGCCGCACCGUCUUUCCCGACCAUCUUCACCGUGUACGCCCUCGUCGUUCCCGUCAAAUGGCAGUAGAAGACCGCGUACGCGUACGUCUCUGCGUGGCACGCCACCAGCUCGUCCCCGGCCAGUUUACGGACGCCGGACGGCACGAUAGUGUACUCCUGUUUCGGAGCACCCUGCCAUCGAAUAUAAAAUAUUUAAACAUCAUUGCCUAGGUGUUUUGUAUGUAUCUAGAUAGCUAGCUAGGACUGUUGGACCAGUUGAAUCUUUACCGCCUAAUUUAAUUUUGACAAAAAAGUCAAAUUCCUUUGAAUUGUUAACUACAUGUAAUCAUCUAUAAUUUAAGCAAAAUCGAAGAAAGUGUACGUUAAUUACUUUUCAAGAUAUUGCAAUGAGAAAAUACUACUUGUACAUCUAAAAUCAAGCUGGGUGCAAUUAGUCAACAGUAUUUAAAUUUGCUAAUUUAGUCAUUAACAAAUAUAUAAAUUCAUAUAAAGAUUUGAUACUUUUUUUUAGAUAAAUUUAUCUAUAUUUAAUUCAAAUUUAUAUUCUAUUUUAUGAAAAAAUAUCGUUGUCUGAUAGCUUAAGCUCGAGACAGACCUUCUUAGGGACGGUGGUGGACACCGCCCGCACGUCGCGCGUCCCGAGGCUCGACGUGCUGAAGUCGACCAUGGACUCGAGCGACGUGGCGCAGAACUUCUUCUCCCCGCCGGCCGCCGGCUCCUGGCACUCUUGGGCAGUCUUCCGCAUCCACCGGGCCUCGACGGAGUCCGGCUGGAUCGCGAACCUGCCGAGGACUUCCGGAAGCUUCUCGACGGAGAGCGGGAUCGCGUCGGCUUCCUUCCGGGGGAGGAAAGCGGGGCCGGAAGCGACUUCCGGGAAGUGGAGCGUCAUCUUCUUCCCCGGGCGUAGGUCCUUCUCCAGGAAGAAGAGCGCGACGCUGGGGUCGUCGCGGAGCUGGGUCUCGGUGGCGGCGUAGUUGUACAAAAAGGGGCCCGCGUAGGGGACGGGGCCCACGCUCACGUGGGCCCCGCCGGGGCCCGCGUAGACGUUCGUGUCUGGCUUGACCUUCCCCGGGCCCACGUGGACCCCGGUCCCGCCGGGGCUCACGUGGACGUUCGUCGUUGGCUUGCCGUUCCCCGGGUCCACGUGGACGCCCACUCCCUUCCCCACGUUGACCGAGGCCGCCGCUUCCUCGUCCGCCACCGUUUCUGUACGUACGUAGUUUAGUACGUAUACAUGUCCGUAUAUGAAAGGAAUAAUAUAUACGUCAAUCAUAGCUUUAUUAAAAAUAAAAUUUUGUGUAAUCAAUGGAUGUAAUCUUAAAAAAAAGAGUAUACAUAUAUAUAUACACGUUAAAAAUUUAUAGUUUUUAUUGAACUUCUUUAUUGGAUUUUCGCCUACUUUAUAUAAUUACAUGAUAGGAUAGCAUGAGACUCUCGUCCAGGAAAUAAUAGCUAUAUAUCUAGGAAAUCAAUCUGAUAGAAUAAUCUAAUCUGAGGAGACCUUCUGAAACGUAUUAGAGCAGCUCUAAUUAAAACCGUAUAAUUUAAAAAAAGGUUAAUUGCAUAUAGUUUUCUGUAAACCUAUCGAAUAUUGAAUAAUAAAUAUAUUCCUAUAAAAUUCAACUUUUUAAUUUUAUAUAUUUUUAUAAAAGUUUAGUAAUAUUUAUAUUUAUUCCUCUGAUUUGUUACUGUUAAGGCGCGUUAAAGUACUCUUUAUUUUUUAACAGUAAAUAAGUAAAAUAAUAUUUUUGCGCUUACAAAAUAUAUUUCUUCAAAAGUUUCAACUGUUAGAAUUAUAUAGAAACAUUCUUCCAAAAAAAUAUUUUAUCAAAUAAUAUAAGAAGGGUAAAAAAGUAUUUUAUUUAUAAUUAACUAUAUUUUUCUAUCGGAUCCUAAUAUAUAAUAGGGAUAUAUUAGAAAAUGUUAGAACUUUUACAGAAAUAACAAUAAAAAAUUGAACUUUCUAUAAAAAUAUAUUUGCUAUUCAAUAUAUUCUCAGAGAGCUGUAUGCAAUUAACCGAAUUUAAAAAAUCAAUAUAAUUAAUCAAAAAUAUGAUCUCGAAACAACCUAACACUAAUUUCGAUUGAGAAAGAGGGAGAUAGAGAGACCAGAGCUUAGAAGGUCGCUAAUGGCGCUUGGCAUGGGAGUGUUAGGCAGGACAGAGCGCCAGUAAACUUGAGCCGGCGAAGUUGCAUGUGUAGUUGCUACUGCUACAACCUGAAACAGUACAUGUACAUAAUAAACUAACGAGCACAUGUAUUCAUAUCCCUCGUAAAAUAUAAUAUUGGUGAUUACUUACGAAUAGCAGGGAAAGGAGAGGUAACGAGUGACCCAUGUUUGAAGCUCAGUACACUUGCAAUGAGUUUAGAUCGAGGAGAUCGAAGUGAUGGGUUUAUAUAGCCUGGUUAGGUCACUAGAAUUAGGAAGGUAAUUAAUUUAAAAUAUUAAAGCGUGAGGAGAAUUAGGGCCGUUUUUUCUUCUUCCAUCUGCCUAAGAAAGGUGACGGAAUUUAAUUAGAAAACAUCGCAACCGUCCCUGGCUCACGCCAUUCAAUGCUGGUGGAUGAUUGUGGUGAGUGUUUGGUCCCGUGGCUUUAUCGCAUUUGACGUGUACGCACUCCGUUGUUGACCGCAUCCUACUAGGGAUGCAAACGUAACGGAUCCUGAAGUGGAAGGAUUUCUCAUCUCCCGCCACGUCUUAUUCUGGGGAGUGGGAUAGAUCGUUUUUUUUUUUUUUUAAUUUCUAAAAUUCGGAGCAAGUUGGGACAAGAGUGGUUUGUUGGCGGAUCAAAAUGAAUCUAGAGAAGAAAGAAAUUAUGUCCCGCACUUCAUAGCAAAUCGGGGCAGAUUAUUAAAAUUAAAAGCUAGAAUAUAUUUAAAAAAAAGGAGCAAAACUGUAUGUUAUUGCAUCGUUUCUUGGCAUCCGCUAUCUGAAUUAAUAAUUCGAGCCACUAAACUUGAUUUAGAUUAUUUUAAUAUUUAACUUUUAAAUUUUAUAAUUUUUUGAUAUUAUUUUAUCUAAUAAUCAAAUAAUUUCUAAUUUAACUUUUUAAUAAUUAAUAUAAAAUAAAUUUAAGACUACUUAAUCACUAGGAAAAUAAAAUUUAAAAAUUACAAAAAUAUGAGCCUUAAUUUAUGAAGUUCAAAUAGUAUAAAUUAUUUAUACCGGUGCCUAUCGUGGAAUCAGCUGUUUUAUUAUUGGAAACAAUCUACAAGUAAAUAUGUACUUCCAUUUACUCUAAGGGAUAAUUGCCUUAUACUCCUCAUACAUUUGAAAAUAUCCGAUUUAUCUCUACUUUUUCUUUCUUUCUAAAAUACCCCUCAUAUGUUUCACCGUUAUUGCAAAUUACCCAUGCAGUUAUCUCCUGUUAAGUUAAUUUGAGUUAAAUGUGAGUUAAAUAUCUACCAUAGUUAAAAUUAAAAUGUCAAUUUUGCCCUUAACUUAAGGGCAAAUAAGAAAGGUUGGUGACGGUAGAGGGGUAUAUUGGAAAAGACCAAAAGUCAAAACACUUUUUUUGCCCCUGAUUUUAAGAGCAAAUAAGAAAGACAGUGAUGGUAGAAUGAUAUAUUUGAAAGGGCAAAAUAGUAAUUUUACAGAAAUAAUAGAGUUAUUUAACAGAUUUUAACUCUAGGUAUAUUAGAAAUAGGUUGGAACGUAAGAGGAGUAUUUUCAAUAUUAGCCUUCUAAGAGAGGUAAAUCGAAAAGUCGAGAACAUUUCAGAGGUAUAUAAGCAAUUGCCCCUACUUCUAAAUAUAUUCUAAUUUUGUUUUUGUAUGUGAGAGAGAGAGAGAGAGAGAUGUUUUUUGUCCAACACUUAUUAUGGACUCGGUCUUCUAAUAAUUAAUUUAUGGUGGGUGCCAGAGAACCACCUGAAUUUAAUUUCUUCCGUGGUCAAGCUCUCCUUAAUACACCUUAAUACAUUGAUUAAUUUCCAAAUACACUAAUUUUGGAUAAAUUGCACUAGUCCCCAAAGUUUCUCCUAAGUUUUAUUUUACUUCUCAAACUCUAAGUUUCGGCAUCAGUGGUGAUCAGUAAACAAUUAAAAGAGUUUUAUUUUGGUCUUUACAUAGGUUUACAAUUAAAGAAUUAUCGAUUGCCUACGCUGAGUGCAACUACAUGGGUUUACGAUCAGCUAACUUUUUCCAUCGUAUAUUUUAUUUCUGCUAUUCAUUGAGUUAUAAUUUUUGCUCAAUAUGAAAAUUAGACAACAUUUGAAUUAAAAGUACGAGAUGCAUAAGAAAAUGAUAAUUUCAUAGUGUACGAAUAAAUAAAUGAAAUAGGUGCAAACAAUCAUUACUAAUAUAGAAUAACGACUAACAUGAAACAGUAUACUAAUUUUUAUAUUUUGAAAGACUUGAAAAGAAACUCCCGAAGUACUUUAUAAUUUUUCUGCUUUAAUGCUAUAAGAUAAUAAUAAUAGGAACCAACAACAAUUUCUAACAUCAUUUCAUAGCAACUAAAAACCAAGUAUAUAUAAAAUAUUUAUAAUUUUUAAAACGUUUUAACCUAUAGAAUACAGACGUAUUUAAACACCACAAUCAUGUGGACCACAAUCAUGUAGAAAAUCAGGCCUCAAGGAAUUGUACAUAGGACAGACGCAUGAAAAAGAUGAUAUUUUUUCAGAGAGAGAACACGUACGGUAGUUGACUACUUGCUUCGUUUAUAAAGUUUUUUUAAAACAAAUUCAGUUAAAAUAUAAUUUUUUUAAGUCAUGGGUAUAGUACAUAUUGCAAUAUAACGCAAUGAUGUUUGGUUGUACUAUAUAAAACGACGACAUAUAUCGAUACGCAGUGUACACGGGCGCCGACAGAGUUGACGCUAAGUGCUGCAGUAUGCAUGCAGAUAUACAUUUGCUGACAAGCAGAUCUACUGCUGUGUCAAGACAAAUAUGUUUGAUUUGUUGCAAAUUAACGGCCGGCAGCAACGUUGUCGGUCGAGUCGCGUCAUGACUCACGGGCGAGAAGGGCUGCUAUCUAGAAAAUGCAUUACAUCUGCGCAUUUAUGAGGUGAAAGAGCGGGGUGCGGCAACGCUGAACAGAACGACGGAGACGGAGAGGGAGAGGGAGAUGAGAUUGAGAUGGAACGAAUUAAUGAUAUCGGACUUAUGUUAAUAUCACGUAGCUGGAUCACUUACAGCUGUUCCGCAUGCACAUGAAGUUGAAAUUACAUAACGAGACUCUAUAGCUGUAUUGACGUGUGUGUAUAUCCGAAUUGACUGCGAUUCCAAAUACAACUGUAAUAGAAAAAAAAAAAAAAAGUAAUUAUAUUUGUCGAAUGGAUCGUUAAUAAAAGACUAAUCAACUUAUGAACUAACACAGAAGUGAUUUGAUGGAUUCUUGUAUGGGCCAUUUUUUUCAGCGUGACGAGAAAAGAAGAGAGAGUGAAUGAAGCUGAGAUCGCCCCACGUGUCAUUCCUGAAUCAACUUAAUUUUUCAUCAGUGGUGGGGCGCGGUUUCCUGUAAACAUCUCGUGCCGUUUUAAAUCUCAAUCACCGUAGCUUUCGUUCAUUUAAAACCAACCAUAUUAGAUUAGGGAAGAGAUCAUCACCAUCAUCGUUAUUAAGCUCCUCCUAUUUAUAGCUGAUUUUAUAUAUUGAUAAGUUUCUGGACGAGUUCUAAACUACUGUUCCACGGGUGCUAAGCUAAGAGGUCAGGGAUUUAAUUCUCUGUCAGUGUAAUUAUAAAAUAAGAGCGUUCUAACCCUCGUUUUUUGCAAAAAAAAAAAAAUAAAAAAAAAAUUAUACAUUUGUGAACACACAGGCUUUGUGGGGUAAAUAUACUGGCUAGCAGAAAAAACAAAAAGAAGCACUUAUUUUUGUCAUUUGUCAACUUGUGCACAGAGAGAGAGAGAGAGAGAGAGAGAGAGAGAGAGAGAGAGAGGAGAGGUGUGAAGUUUGUUACAUACUGUUUUCACAAGUGAUAGUCAUGAGCAAUUUCACACUUUCUCACUCUAGUUCCAUAUGAUUUAAAGUAUAUCAAUUUAGUAUCUUGUGAUUUUAUUUUUAUAUUUUUAUUAUCGAUUCCACAAAUUUUUUUUGUUAAAUGAGUGAGAAAGUUAAAACUAAAGGGUACUAAAGUGAAUAUUCGAUAAAUCUAGAUAGGCUAUCUGAAGCUUUUUUGGUAUAUAAUUUAACGAAAUAUUAACAAAAAAAUUGACGAAAAGAUAGAAAUGAAACCACUGGACACUAAUUUGAUACACUCUAAACCAAAUGGUACUAAAAUGAGAAAGUGCAAAACCAAAUGGGUGGUAUUUAAAAUUUAUCCUAUUUUUAAAUUCAAAAUAUAAAUAUAUAUUUUUAACUAAAAGUAUCAAAAUUAAAAAGUUAAUAUAACAAUAAAAUAUUAGUAGAUAGAAUAGACAUAAUAUAUAAAUAUUUAUCUUAAUAAGAAAAGAUAUUGAAUGAUAAAAAUAUUUAAUAAAAAUAAAAUAUUAAUAAUUGGAGAAAAAAGAGGAACUAUCAUUACGUUAUUUAAUUUGUGUACAAAAAAGAUAAAUGUUGAAAUGNAUAUAUAUAUAGAGUAAAGAUCAUAAUUUUUUAUUUUUUUUGGUGAUGUUAUGGUUAGAAGGUUAUCUUGGCAUCAAAAUAUUAGGUGACAAAUCAGCUCUGCAAGUUAGAAAAAUUUUUGGCAACUUAGUUGUGCUCUCCUGGUUUAAUUCCCAAUUUAUGAUUAAUUAGUAAAGUUAUCCGCGCAUUGCGGCGGGCAGAUACUAUAAGAGACAGAAGAUUGACAAACUAAAAUAUUUUAAAAUUUUUUCACGUGUCAUGAGAAAUCAAUAAAUACAAAUAAAAGAUAUGAAACAGAUAUAGCAAAAUUUAUAAUUUCAGCAAAUAAAUUACACGCAAUAAUAAUAAAAAAAAACAGCAAUAGAACACUAUUCCAUACGCAUCUUAAUUGUGUUGCUCAUAUCGGAAAGGCGAAUCUUGAUCUCCACUUCUCAUUCACCGCCAUUGUCAGCGAUCUCCACUUCUCAUUCACCGCCAUUGUCAGCGUCGAGUUCCUGUUUAAUUACGGCAAUACAUAUCUUAUUUUAUUUGUUUUUUUUAUAAUAUUGAUUUGUUUAGAUGACAAUGAAUAUGAACAUAUUAAUUAAGAAAUAGACACGUAGAAAAACGAAACAUCACGCGGGGAUAAAAGAUAAUAAAUUUGAUCAUUAAGAAUUAGGAAGAAAGCAAGAAUGAGAGAAGAAGGUAAGGACGAAGGAGACUUUGCAAUGUGGCAAAGUUUAUGAAGAAGAAUGUAUAGGUAUAAAUAGAUAGAUUGACUACGAAGUGAAGCUUCCGUAAAUGCUCUGAACUGUAAAAGUUGUCAACAUUAAUGAAUCAUGAAAAUGUCCAUAGAAAAGUAUUCAGGCUAGCAAUUAAACCAAGCUGCAUCCGAAUGCCAUGAACUUACAUCGGGUUCGGGUUAAGAUCAAUUUCGUCUCGAGUUUAAAUGAGACGAGCUUGAGAGAAACGGGCUUGAACUGCACUACUAGUUUGGUCCAUGCACAGCGCACUCUUGUGGGCUUCAGCCCAAAUUUCGUAGCCCAAUAAAUAAAGCCCAAAUAUCCUGAGUCUAGACCAAAUUUGCCCACGUCAAAUAUCGUGCACGACUAAUUCAUCAAGUCCGUUCGAUCUGAGCAAACCAAGCUCGACCCCGGUCCAAUAAACCCAACUUUUGGGAUCCCGUCUAAAUUCAUAAUUCGGCAUGGUGGGAUUCGAAUUUAAGAUCUCAUGUUUUAAUAUAUUAUUUAUAACAACCCUAAUUCUCCCAAGUUUAAGAUAUCAGAGAAUGUAAUUUUAUAUUAUAUAUUCAAAUAUACUUUACUCCCACAAAUUGUAUUCUACAUAGCGUGAAUGAGAUCCAAUGUCAUCAUCUAUCAUAACUUGGAAUUCUAAUUAAUUCAUCGUAAUCUAUGCACUUAAUGACAAUUUAGAAAACUCUUUACAGAUGUGAUCUUAGUCAUAUAUAUAUAUAUAUAAGAACUGUCAUGGACAUAGAUUCGAGGCACCAAUUAAACAAAAUUGUUAGGAACAUUUCCUUAAAUUUAUUUAAUAUUUAGCUGGUCGAUAAUAUUUUAAUUUUAAAAUUUAAACUAAUUAUUUUACUAAAUUUAUAAUGGCAAGAAUUUCAUAAAAUAUACUCACUAUAUUUAUAAAAAUAAACAACGUAUUGAAUUUUUAAGUCAAAAUAGUGUUGAUCAACUCGAACUAGAUAAAUGAAAAGUUGGAUAGUAAAAUCAAAAUGUUUAAAAAGAUAAUAAAAUUAAAAUAUUGGAAAUUAUGGUAGCUAACAAAAAAAUAUCCAUAGUUUUGAUAGGUUUUAUACCCUUUUACUAUAAAAGAAACUUUCGGCCAAAAUUCGCUUAUGCAACCCUGCAAUAAUACACAAUAUACCAGUAAAAUAAUUGUUUGAUACAAAACUGUAACACCUCAAGUGACAUCCAAGAUGCAAAUUAGCUAGUUUAGGCACGACUUAAUUGAUAUAAAUAUAGCAAUAGUUAACCAAACAUUAUCAAAAGAAAUAUGAUAUAAAUAGCUUUAUGCAUAAAUUUGUGGUUGUGGUAAUAAAUGAUAUUCAAGGGAGAAAGAGAUAUAAAAAAUAUGAGGUACUCUUAUCCCCUUUAUACUCAAACGCUAAUUUUUUACCUGAGAAUAGUAGUUUUCGGUUAUCCCCACCAACACCUCCAUUUUCUAUAUAAAACUAUCUAAAAUUGUUCUUAUCUCCAGGAAUCAUAGAAGUUAGGACAAUAAGGAUGAAGGAAUUUGAGCGCUUAUGUAGCUAAUAACUCUGCCACCUUCAUACUUGAUUUAGGUGCAUAGCAGCCUUGUGGCGCUGCCCUUUCAGGUAUAUCCCAUACAUCGAUCCAAUUUUCAAUCAAACACUAUUUUUUUUAUUCCCAUACUUGUAUCUAUACCUGUAAUAGCUAGUUCUUACUUAUAUCCGAACCAAACGGUACCUUACAAUAUUGCGAAUGAUAAAUUUGGAGGGAAAAAAAGAAACAUAGUAUAGUUAUAUAUCAGACGAUCAUAGAAAUAUUUAUUCAAGUAAAAGCUGGUUAUACUUGUUACUAUCCAAAUAAUGCUGACUUUUGAAAAAAAAAAAUACAUACAUAAAAGUAAACUUAUAAAAGAGAAAAAAAAAAAAAAGAAGCUCAUUCUUUCUGACAUUUCUAAACAAUUCAUCUAUGAGACAAAGCUCUUGUGUGGCCCGCAGCUAAUUGCCUUCGUGCUCAUAAAUUACCUACUUCUUUUAAUAAAAUUUUAUUUUUAAAAAAAUUAAUUUACUUAUUAAUUAAAAAGCUGGAAUAAAAUUUUAAGUUUCUAAACCAAUUGAUUGAAAGUAUAAUAUAUAAAAAUUUCGACUAUAUAUAAAACAAUCUAUUAAAUCCGAAUUAGUCAUAAUAAUUUUUUUAGAAAAAUAAUUGCCAAAUUUUUCUUUACUAUGCACGGGAAACUCCCUUCAUCUCACCGUGCUCGCGUGUGCCAUCUUCACAUGCAGCUAGGGAUGCAAACGGGGCGGAUCCGGGGGCUGAAGAGUUCUCCCACCUCCCGCUUCAUUUUUUAUCGGGGCGGGGCGGAUUCGGGACGGAUUACUUUUUAUUUUAUUUUUGGCUCCCACUUACCGCUCCAUUCGGGACGGAUUGGGGCGGGAGCCGGAUUUUUGACGGAUCGGGACGGAUUGAAGGAAGAAAAGAGUUUUCCACCUCCCGCUCCAUUUACUUGGCGGAUCGGGACGGAUUCGGAACGGAUUAUAUUUUUUUAUAUUUUUUAUUUUCACUUACCACCCCAUUCGAGAUGGAUCGGGACGGAGCUCCACCAACCCGGAUCCAUUUGCAUCCCAACGUGCCGCCGACUCCAAAUGGUCUCUCUGCUCUCCUCACUUCAAAUCCACACACUCCUACCCCAAAAAAUAAAAAAAAUAAAAAGAAUACAAAAAUACAAAAAAGAGAGCAAACAUUAACAGAAACACUCACACAGAGGAUGUGGGUUGCAGCAAACUGAGCCACCUUCGCCUCGGCGAUUCCAUCCUUCCGCAUCCGAUCCAUCCCCGUUGCUCAAUGCUCCUCCUCCUCCUCCUCCUCCUCCUCCUCUCCGUCAUCGUCGCUGCAGCCGCCGCCGCCGCCGCCGCCGCCGCCUAUGCCGCCAUCAGUGCCUCCCAUGACCCUUCUUUUCUCUCUCUCUCUCUCUCUUUGUUUAUGUCAUUCUGACCCUGCCUAGUGGUGGAAAAAUUCUAGAAUGCAACGGGUAUAUUAGUGACGUGGCGUAACAAAUCAAUCAAAUUAAUUUUUUUAAAAAUAUAUGUUCUAUUAUGAUUGUAAAAAGAUUUGUUUAUUGUAUUUUUAUUUGAAAAGAAAAAAUGUGAUUGGUUUGUUAUUGAUGACGUGGUACAAAUAUGACAGUGUAGAAUCCCUCCUAGUGGUGGGGUUAGAGUGAGGAGAAGCAAUAAUUAGUUUAAAAAAAAAGAGGGUAGGAAAAAUUUAGAAGAGAAAAAAAGAGAUGAUAAAACCUUUUGUCCUUGGAUGUGACAGAGGAUGUGAGAAGGAGAGAAGAUUAAUUAAUAAAAUAGAAAAAAAGUGAUGGUGACUGUAGGUGAGACAUUAAGGGGGCGUUUGGAUUGACGAAUUUGUAGAUUCAACGUAAGUCAAGUGUAGUGGUGUUUGAUUUUUCCUGAAGUGUGAUUAUUUUUCUGUUGUUUGUUUUGACGUAACUUGUACCACUGAAAGUUAAAUUCAAUCAUUUCUGCUGCUUGUUUUGAUGUAACUUGGUGCCGGUAAAAUUAGUUUUUUGAGUUCCGUUGUUUGUUUUGAUGUAAGUAAGUGGAUCCCAUUAUCUCCUAAAUAUAGUAAUAAAUUUAUCACUAUAAAAUUUAACCUAUUAUAUAAUUAAAUUUUUUAUUAUUAUUUAAAGAUAAUCUUAAUUUAUUAUAAAUAAGGUAAUUUUAACCCAUUAUAAAGAAAGNCAAGUCUAAUGGAGCCGAUCGUCAAUUUGGAAGCGGCAUCAUUGAAAACAACUUGGUAGCACGAAGGCUUCCGUGCUACCGAUAGUAUACCAGCCUAGCUCUAUAUAUAUAUAUAUAUAUAUAUAUAGUAAAGAUCAAAUUUUUUAUUUUUUUUGGUGAUGUUAUGGUUAGAAGGUUAUUUUGGCAUCAAAAUAUUAGGUGACAAAUCAGCUCUGCAAGUUAGAAAAAUUUUUGAUUACUUAGUUGUGCUUUCCUUGUUUAAUCCCAAUUUAUGAUUAAUUGACCACGAAGUGAAGCUUCCGUAAAUGCUCUGAACUGUAAAAGUUGUCAACAUUAAUGAAUCAUGAAAAUGUCCAUAGAAAAGUUUUCGGGCUAGCAAUUAAACCAACCUGCAUCCGAAUGCCAUGAACUUACAUCGGGUUCGGGUUAAGAUCAAUUUCGCCUUGAGUUUAAAUGAGACGAGCUUGAAAGAAACGGGCUUGAACUGCACUACUAGUUUAGUCCAUGCACAGCGCACUCUUGUCGGCUUCAGCCCAAAUUUCGUAGCCCAAUAAAAAAAGCCCAAAUAGCCCGAGUCUAGACCAAAUUUGCCCACAUCAAAUAUCGUGCACAACUAAUGCAUCAACUCAGUUCGAUCUGAGCAAACCAAGCUCGACCCCGGUCCAAUAAACCCAACUUUUGGGAUCCCGUCUAAAUUCAUAAUUCGGCAUGAUGGGAUUGGAAUUUAAGAUCUCUUGUUUUAAUAUAUUAUUUAAAACAACCCUAAUUCUCCGAAGUUUAAGAUGUCAGAGAAUGUAAUUCUAUAUUAUAUAUUCAAUAUACUUUACUCCCACAAAUUGUAUUCUACAUAGCGUGAAUGAGAUCCAAUUUCAUCAUCUAUCAUAACUCGGAAUUCUAAUUAAUUCAUCGUAAUCUAUGCCUUUAAUGACAAUUUAGAAAAUUCUUUACAGAUGUGAUCUUAGUCAUAUAUAUAUUUACUAUUUAAGAACUGUCAUGGAAAUAAAUUUGAGGCACCAAUUAAACAAAAUUGUUAGGAACAUUUCCUUAAAUGUAUUUAAUAUUUAGCUGGUCGAUAAUAUUUUAAUUUUAAAAUUUAAACUAAUUAUUCUACUAAAUUUAUAAUUGUAAGAAUUUCAUAAAAUGUACUCACUAUAUUUAUAAAAAUAAACAACGUAUAGAAUUUUUUAAGUCAAAAUACUAUUGAUUGACUCGAACCAAAUAGAUGAAAGGUUGGAUAGUAAAAUUAAAAUAUUUAAAAAAUAAUAAAAUUAAAAUAUUGGAAAUUAUGGUAGCCAUCAAAAAAUAUCCGUAAUUCUAAUAGGUUUUAUACCCUUUUAGUAUAAAAGAAACUUUCGGCCAAAAUUCGUUCAUGCAGCCUGCAAUAAUGCACAAUAUACCAGUAAAAUAAUUGUUUGAUACAAAACUGUAACACCUCAAUUGACAUCCAAGAUGCAAAUUAGCUAAUUUAGGCAUGACUUAAUUGAUAUAAUAUAGCUAUUAAUAGUAUUUGUUCUUUUUUGCUAUUAAAUUUUUAAUUUUUAGAUUAAUUCAUUUGAUCAUUUUUAAUCAUUAAUUAAAUAUUAUAACCCUAAGAGGAUCACUCAAUCCUAAAGGACUAAUAUCAUAUUAACCUUGAGUCAUUUUUAUUAGUUCCCAAAAAUAAGGUUACCAAGAUAUCUAGAGAGAUUGAAAAGGACAACAGUGACUCUGCCUUUGUCUACAUUUUCUGAUUUUAAGAUAGAGAGGAGUUUAGAGAGGGAGGAGAUUGGGAUUACUUAAAAUGAAAGAAAAGUAAAAUAUGUAUGGUGAAUAUAAGGGAUACGUUGUGUCUUUCGUAGCGAGUUGUGGGAUCAAGCACGAGCGCAGUGUACAGACCCCAGUGUAUAUGAAAACAGCUCUGCACUGCCUUUUUUAUUCUACAUCAUAUAUAUAUCAUACAUAGACCCCAACGUACAGAGACUCCACGUUCAUACAUAUAUUCUACAUCUUCACCACAUCUACAUCAUAAAUAGACCCCAAGGUAGAGAGACUCCAUGUUCACACGACAAUUAAACAUUUAUAACAUACACCAAUCCAUAUAUAUAUAUAUAUAUAUAUAUGGAUCGGUAUACUAGUUCACACCACAUCACGUACGUCUCUCUCUUAUUUUCUCUCUCUCUCUCAAUCCACAACCCUGUACAUACGUACGUGCAUCCUCCUAAGUGCGGCGGGUCCACACAACAUGGUCUUGCAGGAGGAAGUGGCAAAUGGGCACAGUCCCGGGCUUCACCUUGAGCACCUGGAAAGCCAGGUGUUUCGGGUUCCACGCCGCCGUGUCCGCGUGGCAAACCGCCACCGCGUCCACCGCCGCCCCGUCUUUCCCGACCAUCUUCACCAUGUACGCCCUCGUCG